UACGUAGGGUCCGAGCGUUGUCCGGAAUUAUUGGGCGUAAAGAGCGAGCAGGCGGUUUGGAAAGUUGGACGUGAAAUUUUAGGGCUUAACCCUAAAGGGUCGUCCAAAACUCCCAGACUAGAGUGCAGGAGAGGAAAGCGGAAUUCCCGGUGUAGUGGUGAAAUGCGUAGAGAUCGGGAAGAACAUCGGUGGCGAAGGCGCUCUACUGGACCACAACUGACACUCAGGGACGAAAGCUAGGGGAGCGAAUGGG
rnacentral:rRNA from 1 species